rnacentral:rRNA from 1 species
CAGUCGCCGCGGGAAUACGUAGGGUGCGAGCGUUAAUCGGAAUUACUGGGCGUAAAGCGUGCGCAGGCGGUUUUGUAAGACAGGCGUGAAAUCCCCGGGCUCAACCUGGGAAUGGCGCUUGUGACUGCAAAGCUAGAGUGCGGCAGAGGGGGAUGGAAUUCCGCGUGUAGCAGUGAAAUACGUAGAUAUGCGGAGGAACACCGAUGGCGAAGGCAAUCCCCUGGGCCUGCACUGACGCUCAUGCACGAAAGCGUGGGGAGCGAACAGGAUUAGAUACCCCUGUAGUCCCUGUCUCUUAUAC